rnacentral:misc_RNA from 1 species
UUUUUUUUUUUUUUUUCCUUCUUCCUUUCGUUAUUCCCCUCCGCCCCCCUUCCUCUCCCUUCAAAGAGAUGAGUUAUAACAUUUUCCACAGGUUUAUUGAUAAUACAACCAAUGCACGCACGGCACUAAAGAAUCUUUAACACUAAUUUAUAAAUUAAUGGAUCUUAUAUUAUUUUUUAAGUUCAAUAAUUUAGAAGGAAGAUUACAUUUUUGAUAAGAUAUAUUUUAUCCUAGUUAUGCAGGUCCAGCUGCGCCAACACCAACACCAACACCAACAGCCACAGCAGCACUCUAGUACAGGGAUGCGAGCUGUUUUUCUUGGUGGAUCUGGUGUUAAAAGAGAAUGUGCUGGGACUGGUGUUUUCUUGCCUCGCAGAUAUGGCAAUCCCCCUGAUUCCAAGAAGAAAUCAGCUUGCUCAACAGUACUGCUUCCUGCAAAAGUGGUUCAGGCACUAAAUUUGAAUUUUGAGGACAUGAACAUGAACAACCAAGCCCAAGUCCAGCCACGCAUUAAUUGUACUUUUGCCUCUGAUUAUGAUGCUUUAAUGGCAAGAAGGAAUGUCCUUUUGGCACAGCAGAAGAGAAAUUUGAGAGCUGAGGGUGUCCUUAACCAUGAAGUACGCUUGCCUCAAGAGUGGACAUACUGACCCAAGAAUUAGUCCCUCUUAUGAUAUAUAGUGUUGUUUUUGCUGGACAAAAGAAAGCAAGUAUAGAGGUAGAAGUAUGAAAUAGGGUUUUGAUGGCAUAAUUUGGUUUUUACUUAGGAAAAGAAAUUCAAGAAGGAAGUGAAAUAAGAACUAAGAAAGCCAGUUUUUUUUUCUUUUUGGGGUUUUUGAGGGAAGUUUGCAAUCAGCUUUUUAGAUUAUGCAGCAAAAGGAAUGACGAAGAAGCAGAAGCAGAUAGUAGUAGUAGAAGAGGUAUUUUUGUUGUAAUAAAAGGAUUAUGUCUUGAAAGGUUCUUUUUGUAAGGGGCAUGGGUAAGCCUUCUUGUUUUGAUUUUAAGGCAUAAACUGUGUUUAUGUUAUUUAUUUAGGGGAAAGAUUAUGGUUGGAAAUGGGGAGGGUUGUGCUUGUCCAUGUUCAUCCACAACCCUCAAAUGCUGUAAUGUCUCCCUUGGCAGCUAAAAAAUUUCUAAUAAGAGAAGCUUUUUAUUUAAGGUUCUAA